rnacentral:rRNA from 1 species
UAAUACGAAGGGAGCUAGCGUUGUUCGGAAUAACUGGGCGUAAAGGGUGCGUAGGUGGAUGUGUGCGUUAGAUGUGAAAUCCCCGGGCUUAACCUGGGAACUGCAUUUAAUACGGCACGUCUAGAGUGCGAGAGGGGAAAGCGGAAUGGCGAGUGGAGCAGUGAAAUGCAUUGAGAUUCGCUAGAACACCAGAGGCGAAGGCGGCUUUCUGGCUCGUUACUGACACUAAGGCACGAAAGCGUGGGGAGCAAACAGG